CCCGACAGUUUAGUUUCUCGGUCACCUGAUCCCACUACCCACAUCGCCCGUCACCUGAUCCCCCCCCCAUCUCGUUUUUCUAAUCGAGCGCACGCGGCGGCGGGCGGUUGAGCGGCGGCCGGCGAGCGCAUGGGCUGCAGGGUGGACUCCUUGGCCAUAGGAGCUGCUUCUGCCCCGACCGUGUCCUCGGCUGCGUCGUGAUCGGCGGCCGAAUCGGCGGCGGCGUGCUCGUCGGCGGCAAUGGAGACAUGGUCUGUGGCGUGUUGCAGGCGGGCAGCAUCUGCAUCCACGUCGCAUCUUCUUGCCGUGCAUAUUGAGCGCUUGCUCAGAAAGGGCAGCUCGCCAAGGUCUGCAACCAUGCGAGCAACAGCUUUCGCCGGACACCUUUGUUUCAGGCAUGAACAACAAGUUACUCACAAUUGAGUUGAGAAAUGCCUGGCAAUUAUUUGGCAAUUGGCAAGAAACCAGCAUGAUGCCAACUUGAGCUGAUAUAAUUUCCUGAUGUUAUACAUCUCGAUGUAAAUGUGAAGCGGUGUAGCUUUCUGCUAGUACUACAAACCCCGGAUAUACUAGCCAUUUAUUAUUUUUAUAUGUGGCUUUAUUAUGCCAACAAUUAGUUCGUUUCUUUUCUAAGGAUGCAUCAAGUACGUUUGAAGUUUAAUGUGAUUUCAAGAGCUUUUGUGAUAAUCUUAUGGUCAGAUAAUGGAUUGCAGAUUUUAGCUUUUUUA